AGUGAAGCGUGCAUGUCACGCAGUUACGUUUAAAUUUUGGGUGUUUUGCACCCGGGGUGUGUUAUCCAGGUGCCCGGGAGUAGCGUCUGUGUAAGGGAGUGGCCGUCUCCUUGUGGCACUGAGCAGUUGCGGUCAGUUUUGUGGGACGCAGGAUGUACCGGAGCGGCUCUGGAGGAUGGAGGCUCGUAGCCGCCCUCGUGCUGCGCAUUUUAGCGGUGGGCACGUGAAAUGGCUGCAGAUGACAAACGGUCUCCAACACUGGACUCUACGAGUGAUCUACCUCAUUCUCCCAGCAGUCCAUCUCAUCUCACCCACUUCAAACCCCUGACUCCUGACCAGGAUGAGCCUCCUUUUAAAUCAGCCUACAGUUCUUUUGUAAAUCUCUUCCGUUUCAGCAAAGAUGAUAGCAGGCUUUCAUCACCGGCAGAGAGAACAGAGGCAGGACAGAGUGAUCCACAGGCAUUGAGUGGUGGCUGGUCCAGUCCUCAGCAUCCCACCAGGGCUCAGUCUCUGAGAUCACMGAUUCAUUACAAAAAACAACUGACUGGUGAGCUGCAAAGAAGAUCAUCUGCAACUCUGGGUAAUUUCACCUCUUUGUUCUAAAAGGCAGUGCUGUACUAGUCAGGAUGCUUCAGAGUGAGAUGGAAGGAAGUGAGCGAAAGUUCAUGUCUAGAUUCAUGGCAGAAUUUAGUAUCAGGCUGUACAGCUUCUGUUAGUGAGGUUGCACUUUAACCUCAGAAGCAUGUUCCCUCCACCCUUGGUGUUCCAGCAAGACAGCUUCUUGUUGGGACUCUGCUCUUUGAGUUGGAAAAAAAUCUGGAAUGGGAGAGGCUGCCAAAACACAUCCAGUGUUUUAAAGUAAUUUGAACCUUAGUCCUGGACAUUUCUGCUUUUUCUUGAGAGACUAGAGUUUCUUAGCAUCUACAUGCUAACUCUAGUGCUUAGUGUGAAUGGAGUUGAUGUUUGUGUCUUCAAGGGAAUUGUAAAUGCAGUUUUUUGCUUGUAGCUGUUUUGAGGAGAAUUGAAUAAAAGUUGUGC